AAAGCGAAUGGAAAUAAAAGAACAUGGUCCCGCCGGCAAAAAAAAUAAAGAAAAGCUAUAUAACUUGGAGCAGUUCAGAACGCAGAAUCCUUCUGGAAAAGCGUAUUGACAAGGAUGUUUGGUUCAGUUCAAAGAACGCCAACAGCAACGAAGGCUGGAACAAAUGACUUCGUACUCCACUGACCAUCCGUGGCGCUUUUUGGGAAUGUGAGUUACAAUUUUUCGAAACGAAGCAGAG